GGCCCCACGUUGCACACACUGUAAGCAAUGCACUUUUCCAAGGAAGGGGCUGGGGGCGGUGGAGCGGAGGGGCCUGGGGGCUGCUCUGGUCUCUCUACCCACCCAACCCUUGAACUGGGGAGGACCCCCCACCACUUAGCCCGUGGAGGUGGGAGGUGAGAGCGAGUGGUUUAAGUGCCUGAUUUCCACCGCCCGCCCCCCUCCCCUGUGUCCAGCUGGGAUGUGAGUGGCCGUGGGCCUCCCCUCUCCCUCCUUUCCCGCAACCUGGCCCCUUCCAGUCACUGACCCCUCAUUGCUAUGCCCCCAUCAGAGCUAGAGAGAUGGAACCUCCGCCUCCAACAGGCCCAGGGGGCAGAGCUGGGCCUCCUCCCGGCACCCUGCCCUGCUGGGGCACGGGGCCUGGGGUCUCAAGAAGCUGGUGUGCCCCCUCCGCCCCCAUGCCUCCUCUGCCAGUGCCUUACAUCCUGGAGCGACAGCCCCUCCCUGGUGCCUCCCGGCCCAAAGGGGGACCACGGUUUGCACUUUCAUCCCCCACCCCCUGCCGAAGUGGGGCACAGCCAGGAGGCGUUGCCGCUGGGUGGCCAGAAGGAGAGGGGCCAGGCCGCCUGUGGUCCAGAACGGCCGGGGGCUCUGGCUGGGGGCGGGGAGGUUGGCGCCUUGGGGCUCCCUGCUACCAUGUAGGGGGGCCUCCCAUCUGCUAAACAUUUUCCGUUGAGCCGCUCCAAAAACACUAAACCUGGGGGCAUGGGGUGCCCCUUCACCCCCGCUCCCCGGCCCCGUCCACGCCUCCUCCCCGGGAUAGCCGUCUCGGGAAGAGGGGCCUGGGAAGGGUGUUAGGUGUUCUGGGAUCACCAGCCCAAACACAAAGCCGCCUUCCGGCCGUCUGUCUGAAUCCCAGCUGGUCUCCACGCCUGGUGCUGGGGAAUGCCGACCCCCAUCCCCGGCCUAGGCCAAAGCCAUGGCCCUGGGAGGGCCUCCGCCCACUGCUCCCAGCCUGACCCGCCUCUCCCUCUCCUGGUAAACCCCUGGUGCCCCGGGCCUGGCCAGCCUCCUCCCACCUCCCCAGACACCGGACUUUCAUCCCAAACUAGCCCGAGGGGCCUGGCGAACCCACCCGAUCAUAAAGAGAAAGAUACCCCCCACACACAAGACCCUUCCCCUCCAGCUGCACUCCCACUGUCCGGAGGGGUUCGAGAACCCUUGGUCCGUCCGUCUGUCCCCAGGCCCCCUCCAGCAGGUGGCCGUUGGGGACCAAAGCAUGGGCCGCUCUGGGGGAGGGCAGGAGGGGUGGGUUGUGCAGUUUGGGGUAUCCAGAAGCUUGUCAGCCGGGAACCUGAGGGUGCGGGUAGGCAGGGAAGGGGAAGGGGCACCCGGCAGCCCCCAGCUUCCUAACUUUGCAUGGUGCUUAGUCGAGGAUUUCUGUGACCUGGCUCCUGACUUCAGCUCGAGGCGGCUGAAACUGCAUGGCAAUUGAUACUGGCUCUAUCUCCCUCCCCACGCCACCCCCAACUCCAGCCCUCCACCACCACCCUCCUUCUCUUUAAAAGAAAACAAAAAAAAAGAUACAGAAAAAAAAAAACCCUUAAAAAAAUUCCAUGUUUCCUAAUUUGCACGAAAUUUUCUAUCACAUGAUGUGCCUUGCCUUCCAAGAAUAAGUAUUACCUUUAAACAAUAUCAGCGCACACAGAUAGCUGCAUGCACUGCUCGUGUAGUUUAAAAGGAAAAAAAUGACAAAACAAUGACAUGAAAUAAAAAGUAAAAAUUGAAAAGGGAUGUAUUUCUAUUUGUAAAAAAAAAAUUAAGAAUCAAAAAAAAUCACACGCUUAAAAAUCACAUUGCUUAAAAAAAACAAAGCGAUGCCCGCAAUGAUCACCCCACAGCUUGCCCUGCCCCCAGCCUGCCCUGGGCUCUCGUCUCCCCAUCUCCUGCUGCAUGGGGGGUGCCCCCUGGUGCUCUGCAACCCCCCCACCCCUGGCCCCAUCCUCGGGCUCCAGAGGGGUCAUUUCGCAUCCCCUGCCCACAGCAGCGGACAGACCUCAGGGGUGUGCCCUGGCCCCAGGCAAGGGCCUCUCCCCUCACUGGGCCACAGGCCAGCCCCCCCCAGACGCCGUGCAUGCACCUAUGCGUUCUCACCCCCCCACCCUGGGGCGGCCACCCUGCCGACAGCCAGACUCCCCCCGCCUCCUCUCCCACAGGCUGGCAUCCCCCUGGCUCAGGGUCACAUCGCUGUCUCACUACCCCCCUACAGCCCCCUCCUUCUUGCCAAAGGACCCAUCCCCAUAGACUGAUCUUGGGGUAGCAGGAAGGACCCUCUUGCCAACCCCACCCCCACCCCCCCAGUUCUACUAUGUCUUCCAGCUGUGACUGCAGAGGGGGUCUGGUAUGAAACAAAAAAAGACAAAACCAAACCCGAUAUAUGCAAUAUUUGUCUGUCUGUACCUGUAAGGUCUAGCUCAGCCACGGAGGCCCGGCCGAGGGGUUGGGGCCAGGGGGCACCGCGUCAUAGGCCCCGUCCAAGGGGCCGGCCAUUGCUGUUGUCUUCUCUUCGGUUUUAUUUUCUCGUUUCCCUUUUUGCCUUCUUUUUCUUUCUCUCUUUCCUUUUUAAACUUUUCCUCCAAUUUUCUCUGCCUUUAACUCUACCAAAGCCGGGUCCACCAACCUUGGGCCCAUCCCUCCUCGCCAUCUCCGGCCCUCCCGGUCCCUAGGCCCCUCAAACAUCUCCUGUCAGCGUACGCUUGGUGGGCAGUCCCCAUUCGCUCCCCGGCCACCACCUUGGAUGUUAGGAUUGUCUCCAGAGCUGGGUGGGGCCUUGCAGCCAGACCCUGGCUUUCAUCUGCCACUCUGCUCACGCCAUGUUUUCUUCUGAAAAGACACCUCAGCCAGCCCCAGGGUCAGGGGCAGAGACCCGGCCCUGGCCUUGACCCUGCCCUUGAGAACGGCCCUUUGGCCCAAGAGCCCAAGGCCCUGUUUGUCAGUUUCCAUAGGGCCCAUUUCCAGCUUUCAUCCCCCCAGCCACCAGGGAAGUGGGGACAGCCAGUGGCACAGGGGAGUGGGUGGCACGUCCCUAUGGGACCCCUCCUCCAUAGGCUCACCUCGAACCAUGGUGUCCCUCAUGCCUGCACCCCACAGCACCCUGGGCCUCAGAGCCCCUCCCUUCCUUGCCUGCUGUGCGUCAGAAUAAGGCAGAAACACUAGGAAUCAGGCUCCCACCUGCCAAUGCGGUUGGGGUUCACGCCCUGGGAGGGAGGUGGGCAGGGUGUUGGGUGUUUUUGGGUUUUGUUUUUUUUUGACACUUAUGAAACUGACAUCUCAAACCCCAUCCCCUCCCAAGCCCACCGUCACCCCCUCACUCAUAGCCUAUCCCAUGCAGAAUCCCCCAGCCUGACCUUGGGGUCCAGCCCUUGCUGUGGAAAAGACUUAAGGAGACCUCCCCAAUAUAUGCAGAUCACCUCCAUCCCUCUCUCUGGAGGGAGGUAGCAGACCCUGACCAGGGUGGAUGGGGAGGUGUGGAGAGGCAGGCCAACCCCACCCUAUCUGACCUGGGGACGGAGGGUGGGUCCAGGGUCCCCAGUGCCCAGGUCUGGAACCCACGUUCUAGCUGGGUUAUGAGCCCAGAUUCCCACCCUGAGUUAGACAAUCAGACUGGAAGGGAACCCCAAGGGAGGCUGCAGGGAGGGGGCCCUGCUGCAGCUCCCCAAGCAGCAGUUUCAGCCUCAGCACCCCCCACACCCCCAGCUCCGGAACUUUCCCUCUGUCGCCAGAGACAGCAGCAUUCCAGGAGCAAACAGAUUUGGCUGGACAGCUACCGGUGAGGCAGGAUCCCAGGGCCAGGAGCAGCCAUCCAGCCCUCUGUGAGAGACGGGACCCCAGCCACCCACUCCCUCUGGCUUCUCUGAUGGUACUUUGACCUCCAGUGUAGGGCUAUA
ensembl:lncRNA